CAGCAGCCACGGUAAAACAGAGGGUGCGAGCGUUAAUCGGAAUUACUGGGCGUAAAGCGCGCGUAGGUGGUUUGUUAAGUUGGAUGUGAAAUCCCCGGGCUCAACCUGGGAACUGCAUCCAAAACUGGCAAGCUAGAGUAUGGUAGAGGGUGGUGGAAUUUCCUGUGUAGCGGUGAAAUGCGUAGAUAUAGGAAGGAACACCAGUGGCGAAGGCGACCACCUGGACUGAUACUGACACUGAGGUGCGAAAGCGUGGGGAGCAAACAGGAUUAGAUACCCGCGUAGUCCCUGUCUCUUAUAC
rnacentral:rRNA from 1 species